UUAUUGCUCUGGUUGUUUGGU
rnacentral:piRNA from 1 species